GAGGGUAUAGCUCAAGUAGUAGAGCACGUGUUUAGCACGCACAAGGUCUUGGGUUCAAUCCCCAAUACCUCCU
rnacentral:tRNA from 1 species